rnacentral:rRNA from 1 species
UUUCGCAAUGCCCGAAAGGGUGACGAAGCGACGCCGCGUGUGGGAAGAAGGCCUUCGGGUUGUAAACCACUGUCGGGAGUUAGGAAAUGUAAGGGUGCUAAUAGUAUCCUUACUUGACUAAGGCUCCGGAGGAAGCCACGGCUAACUCUGUGCCAGCAGCCGCGGUAAUACAGAGGCGGCAAGCGUUGUUCGGAAUUAUUGGGCGUAAAGGGCACGUAGGCGGCCUUGUAAGUCAGUUGUGAAAGCCUUCUGCUUAACGGAAGAACAGCAGCUGAUACUGCAAGGCUAGAGUGCGGAAGGGGAGAGUGGAACUUCUGGUGGAGCGGUGAAAUGCGUAGAUAUCAGAAGGAACACCGGCGGCGAAGGCGACUCUCUGGUCCGUAACUGACGCUGAGUGUGCGAAAGCUAGGGGAGCAAACGGGAUUAGAUACCCCGGUAGUCCUAGCCGUAAACGAUGGGCACUAAGUAGAGGGGUUUUA